CCCUUAGAUGUUCGGGGCUGCACACGCGCUACACUGGAGGAAACAGCGUGUAUUGACCUGGUCCGAAAGGACUGGGUAAACCUGUGAAACUUCUCCGUGCUUGGGAUAGCGGAUUGCAAUUGUUUCGCUUCAACGAGGAAUUCCUAGUAAGCGCAAGUCAACAGCUUGCGUUGAUUACGUCCCUGCCCUUUGUACACACCGCCCGUCGCUACUACUGAUUGGAUGUUUAAGCGAGGUUCUCGAACUGCUAGCGACUUAGCUUCGGUGAGGUCGCAGUGUGGGAAGUGAACCUAGCUUUGGUGUCUAGAGGAAGUAAAAGUCGUAACA
rnacentral:rRNA from 1 species